AAGUCGUAACAAGGUAUCCGUAGGUGAACCUGCGGAUGGAUCAUUAUGGAAUGGUUUGGAUGAUUGUGAGUGGUUUUUUUAAGAUUGAGUGGUGUUGGUUGGGAAGCGAAGCAGGAAUGCGAAGCAGGAUUGCGAAGCAAGACAGCCAACAUUGCCCACGUUAAACUAUAUAAAUCUAACAUAAAUACACAUAACAAGAAACAACUUUUAGCAACGGAUCUCUUGGCUCUC
rnacentral:misc_RNA from 1 species